rnacentral:rRNA from 1 species
UACGGAGGUUGCAAGCGUUGUUCGGAAUAACUGGGCGUAAAGGGAGCGCAGGCGGUUUGACAAGUCUAAAGUGGAAGCCCGGGGCUUAACCUCGGAAGUGCUUUGGAUACUAUCGAACUCGAGUUCGUGAGAGGAAAGCGGAAUUCCAGGUGUAGCGGUGAAAUGCGUAGAUAUCUGGAGGAACACCGGUGGCGAAAGCGGCUUUCUGGCACGAUACUGACGCUGAGGCUCGAAAGCGUGGGUAGCAAACGGG